rnacentral:tRNA from 4 species
GGAGGGAUGCCCGAGUGGUUGAAGGGGAUCGUCUCGAAAGCGAUUACUCGCCUAAAGCGAGUCGUGGGUUCGAAUCCCUCUCCCUCCG